UAGGGAAUCUUCGGCAAUGGACGAAAGUCUGACCGAGCAACGCCGCGUGAGUGAAGAAGGUUUUCGGAUCGUAAAACUCUGUUGUUAGAGAAGAACAAGGACGUUAGUAACUGAACGUCCCCUGACGGUAUCUAACCAGAAAGCCACGGCUAACUACGUGCCAGCAGCCGCGGUAAUACGUAGGUGGCAAGCGUUGUCCGGACUUAUUGGGCGUAAAGCGGCCGCAGGCGGUUUCUUAAGUCUGAUGUGAAAGCCCCAGGCUCAACCGGGGAGGGUCAUUGGGAACUGGGAGACUUGAGUGCAGGAGAGGAGAGUGGAAUUCCAGGGGGAGCGGUGAAAUGCGUAGAUAUAAGGAGGAACACCAGUGGCGAAGGCGGCUCUCUGGUCUGUAACUGACGCUGAGGCUCGAAAGCGUGGGGAGCAAACAGG
rnacentral:rRNA from 1 species